ACCAAAUCAUCACCGCCACGAUUCAUCCUUAUCUCCCACGCUAUCUCCUGCACGAUGCCCGCCUCCUCCGGGUCGAUUCUUCUCCUUUCGAAAUCAUCGUAUCUCCGUGACCAAAUCAUCAUUCUUCUCCUUUUGAUAAUCAAGCAUUGAAUUUGUCGAAAUUUUGAUUUAUUGAUUAUAUCGAAGUAUACGCAGCUUUCUAAAUGUGUUGGCGUUCUCGAAGAUUUUGAAGAAGUAUGAUAAGAUAACUUGGAGAAAAUCUUCCAAGCCUUACAUAAAAAUGGUUGAUAGUUCGUACCUCGGAAGCUCUGAUGAUCUUAUGAAACUGAUACAGCGUGUUUAAGCUACAUUCAUAAAGCAUUUCGCAAAUGGUAACAGAAGAAAAGGAAUGAACAUCUUGAGAUUACAUCUUGGAAUCUUUCAAAAGGAAAGCUACAAAGAUUACAUGAUCACUAUGUUCCCUCUUUAUAGCUUAUUUGGGUUCAAGCAAGGAACUGAACUCGGUUACAGACAAGUUCUUUUUAUGGGAUUCAGUAUUGGAGCGUUUGCGUUGCUUUGUGUUCUUGGAAACCUUGAUAUGCAAGUAGACCCCAAAACUAAAAAUUACCAAGCUUUAACCGAAC